AGGACGACAAUGACUACAACAACAACAACAAGUAAUCUUAGAUUAAAUCCGUGACACCCUAGUUCAUCAUGUGAUCAUAGAUGGGAGGACCAUGAGAGAAGCUGGACAGCUAGUGCAACUCAACCUAAGCUAUUACAUGGUUGCAUCCAAAGUCCGUACUUUCAGAAGGGAAAACAGAGAAUCAUGGGGCUGGAUGCCAUGGCUGACCCAUAGGAGUACAUCUUCAUCGACGAUGCAGGGUUCAACCUAACAAAAAGGUGCGAAAGGGGCUCAACGUCAUUGGUCACCGUGCCAUCAUACAAGUUCCUGGUCAGAGGGGAGGCAACAUCACCCUAUGUGCAGCCAUCAGCAAUGUCAAAGUGGGUCUAUACAACACGGCACAACAUCACCCUAUGUGCAGCCAUCAGCAAUGUCAAAGUGGGUCUAUACAACACGGCACAACAUCACCCUAUGUGCAGCCAUCAGCAAUGUCAAAGUGGGUCUAUAC